rnacentral:piRNA from 1 species
UGGUGUGCAGUGCCCUUUGAUCUCUUCAU